rnacentral:rRNA from 1 species
GACGAACGCUGGCGGCGUGCUUAACACAUGCAAGUCGAACGGAAAGGCCCUGCUUUUGUGGGGUGCUCGAGUGGCGAACGGGUGAGUAACACGUGAGUAACCUGCCCUUGACUUUGGGAUAACUUCAGGAAACUGGGGCUAAUACCGGAUAGGAGCUCCUGCUGCAUGGUGGGGGUUGGAAAUUUUCGGCGGUUGGGGAUGGACUCGCGGCUUAUCAGCUUGUUGGUGGGGUAGUGGCUUACCAAGGCUUUGACGGGUAGGCGGCCUGAGAGGGUGACCGGCCACAUUGGGACUGAGGUACGGCCCAGACUGCAACGGGGGACAGCAGUGGGGAAUAUUACACAGUGGGCGGAAGCCUGAUGCGACGACGCCGCGUGCGGAAUGACGGCCUUCGGGUUAUGAACCGCUUUCGCCUGUGACGAAGCGUGAGUGACGGUAAUGGAUAAAGAAGCACCGGCUAACUACGUG